ACCUCGAAUCAGGUAGGACUACCCGCUGAACUUAAGCAUAUCAGUAAGUGGGAGAGAGAUCGUUUCUCUUAUUAAACAUAUAAAUGGGCGGGAGGGAGCGAGACGAACCCCGAAGGAGCCGGUACGUCCCGGUAAUA
rnacentral:rRNA from 1 species